UACGAAGGGGGCUAGCGUUGUUCGGAAUCACUGGGCGUAAAGCGCACGUAGGCGGAUUUGUAAGUCAGGGGUGAAAUCCCGGGGCUCAACCCCGGAACUGCCUUUGAUACUGCAAGUCUCGAGUCCGAUAGAGGUGGGUGGAAUUCCUAGUGUAGAGGUGAAAUUCGUAGAUAUUAGGAAGAACACCGGUGGCGAAGGCGGCCCACUGGAUCGGUACUGACGCUGAGGUGCGAAAGCGUGGGGAGCAAACAGG
rnacentral:rRNA from 1 species